UACGUAGGGGCAAGCGUUGUCCGGAUUUAUUGGGCGUAAAGAGCGUGUAGGCGGCCUUACAGGUCAGCUGUGAAAACUCGAGGCUCAACCUCGAGACGUCGGUUGAAACCGUAAGGCUAGAGUCCGGAAGAGGAGAGUGGAAUUCCCGGUGUAGCGGUGAAAUGACGUAGAUAUCGGGAGGAACACCAGUGGCGAAGGCGAAGUCUCUGGGCUGUAUCUGACGCUGA
rnacentral:rRNA from 1 species